UGUGUGUGUGUGUGUGUGUGUGUGUGUGUGUGUGUGUGUGUGUGUGUGUGUGUGUGUGUGUGUGUGUGUGUGUGUGUGUGUGCGUGUGUGCGCGUGUGUGUGUGCGCGCGUGUGUCUGUGCGAGACAGCCAGAGGGUUCAAGUCUCACGGUUUCCAUGGUGUUGUUUACAAACAGGAUUCCUCCAUUGGUGAAUGAGAAGCCUUAAUGACAGGACACGGUAUUGUGCUCAUAACACACGUACGCACACACACACACACACACACACAGCGUCGUAUUGGUUAUGAAAUCAAAGCUGAAAAGUGGGUUAUGAAGAAACAGUUCUGCAUGAAAAACAGUUCAAAACGAGCUAUUUCGUCAAUCCAAUACCCUCAACGCUUUCCCAAGGUAUUGGGAUCAGACCGUUAUCUAACCUAACCUUGCCUCUAGUGUAUGAAACAACUUUGAACUAAAUCUCUGUUUUCAUUGUUGGCUAAAGUGGAAACAGACUGGUAACCAAGCUAACUCAAGAUCCAUAGCAACAGAUCUCUGGUAAAAGUGGUGUUUCAGGGUCCACAUGGAACUCAAAAGGUUUCUACCUGGAACCUAAAAGGGUUUUUCAAAUGGCUCUCCUGUGGGGUUCAACAAGGGUUCUUCUAAGAUCCUCAAAGUUCUUCAAAGAACCUUACGGUUCUUGGGACUGAAAAUUGCCAGCAAAAGGUUCUUCCAAGAACCCAAUAGGAGGUGGGGUUCAUCGAGGAGCCUCCUUGGUUGGUGGAGGUUCUUGCAGGAACCUAACUGCCCAACUGAAACAGUUAGAUUUGAAUUUGGAAGGGAAGCAGGUGCAGGCACUUAACUGAAAGAUGUAAAGAUCUCCUCAAUUUAAGGUAAGGUUUGUCCUUUGUAUGAUCUACAUUUAUGUUGUUUAAUGAUGAUACCAUCUAUCUUUUCAUAUUUGUGCAAAUCUUUCUAAAACAGAAAAUGGACACAAUUCAAUGGAUAUCAAUCAACAAAGAGGUAUGAAGACGAGGAGGCAUACAGAGGUAUGUCAAUAGGUAUUGGUAAAUUAUUAUGCAGAUCACAUUUACCAUAUUCCUCUCUUACCUCUUCAAUGAAUAUCCCAUAGGCCUCUACAUUUACCACAAAAAACAAGGUAUGAAUACUGUAGUGUGCAUGUUUUGUUAAUCAUCUGUAUAAUUACUAUUCUUUGGGAUUCACAGACUUCACCCUCCCUACACCUCUGAUGAAUAUAACAGGAAACCUGUUCGAUCACCAUGCACUGCAAAAUCAUUCUGGCUAUGGACACGGAGAACAUCAACACAUUAACAUCAACACGCCUUUGGACUUGGGGCUCUGCUGGGAGUUUACCUCAUAUUUAGAUUUUUUUAUUCUGCUUUGCCACUAAAAUCAUAAUAAACACUGACAUCUAAAA